CUGAAACCUAACCCCUCAAUGCACACUUUGUUUUGGAAUAAGCUGCUAGAAUUGGUGGUUCCUGGGUCCAGCGUGGGAUAUAAGCUGCUGUCCAUCAGGAUGAUGGGGAUGGUUGACAGCUUGCCUUUCUCACUUGCACAGGUUGGCAAGGGUUGGAAUGAAAGAGACGAGAGUGUGGAAAAGCUUCACAGAGUCUGCAACGAUCUGCUUCUCUUCCAUGUUAAGAGCCUCCUACAGAGCAUUCCCUGUCUCAGAUGCCUCUGUGUCGAAGAAGGCAGACUUUGUGCCUUCCCCCGAUGAGUGAAGUUUAUCCACUCACUGCCAAGGGAUGCACUGCUGGCUCUGCCCUGAGUUCUGCGUCAUCCUGGAGUUACCGAUGUGGUGCAGGGAG
ensembl:lncRNA